CUGGGCCCGGACGUGGCGCGGGGCGGGGCCGGGGCGGGGCUGGGGGGCGGCGGGGCCCGGCCCGGUGUGGGGGCAGGGGGACGGGGCUGUACCGGGGGGCGGGGGGGGCUGCUCGGGAACGGGGUCACCGGGCACGUGGAGGCCCUGCGGCAGCUGGCCCGGGUCGUGGGCUGCCUCUGGGGCCCUGCUUUUAUUUAUCUUUAUUUAUUUUAUUUUAUUUUAUUUUAUUUUAUUUUAUUUUAUUUUAUUUUAUUUUAUUUUAUAUCUGUUGCAUCAUCUCUAAAAGGGAAUGUGUCUCUACGUGGGCAGCUUACGUGCCGGAAAACCUUCCCCUGGUGAGGCACGUGUGUUUCGGGUUGAGCACGUCCCCCUGUUUUUUCUCUUACCGAGCAUCCUGCUCCUCGGGUUGCCCACCCUGACCCCGCAGUCUCUUCCAGACCCCCCUCCCUACAGAGGCCUUGCCUAGGGAGGUGCUGAACGCUUGGGUCUCGCUCUGGCUUUGCUGCUGAAGCGGGUACCCAAACAGGAGUGCUUCUGGAAGCUCCGUUUGACCAGAGCUAUGAAGUUCCAUUUUGCUGGAGCUAUAAAAUCAAUUCGAUGUAAAAAUCAGUAUGGCCACCCGAUGCUCUGGGCCUGCUGUGAGUGUGGUAACACCUGGGCUAGGCACACACUCCUUGCUCCUUGUGUCUCAGUUGCUGUGAGAAAACACAGCUCAGGACAUCCACCCACAGCGGUCUCGCUCCUUCCUUGCUGCCCGGCCUGCUCCAGUCCCCGGGAUGGGGCCACCCAAAGGUGGGAGGCUGGUGGUGAAUUGUGGCCAUGCUCGGUGCGGCUCCCAUCUGUGAGCUGAGCGGGGUGUUUGUGGUGCUCCCACACCAACAGUGGCAGCCUCUGUUCCGAGGAAUCCUCGCGCCCUGCCAGCUGGCUGCAGCAGGGAGCCUCGGGGCGGAUGACGUCCCGCCGGCAUCACAUCACGUGCGGCUGUGCCGAUGUAGGGCCUGGCGGGACGGGGAAUCGCAGGGCUCUUUGUAAGGGGCGAACAAUGCCCUGCCUGUGGAGGGCCGUGUUACUGUAAAUAACGUUGGAAUAUCAUGAAAAAUCCCUUUCAGGUCAGCCUCUCCCCCGCAAGUCUUCUGGCUGGGCUUUUAGCAGCUUCUCCCACCCCCGCACGCCCAGCUGAGCUGAUGCACGGGGCUGAUUCGGGGAGCAGAGCACAGCUCUUGCCAUCUCAGAUUCCGAUUGUGGGCAGGCCAUUGGAGCUGGAAAGGACAAAAACAGCUCAAGCAGCGCAGUAUCCUCUCGCUAAAGAUUAGCUCUGCUCUCUGGAAAGCCCUGAGGGAAUAAUGCUGGAAACAACGGGGGCAUUUGAGGGCUUUCUUUGCGGUGUUCUUGUCACACAGCUUGGUGAGAGCCCAGCACCAGCUCAGAUGUGCAGCCGGGCAGGUGCCCUGGGUACCCUGCAGCACGUGGUGA